UAUUGGUUGUCACUUGUCAGAUUUCGGAUUGCUACUAUUAUACUGUGAAAUUAAUUUGCAGUAGAAAAUUGAGGUAUAAAAUAUUUCUAUUGGUUUCUUUAUUCUUAUAAUUUUUACAAGAGAAAUUGAAAAUGGAUUUACAACAGAAAGGCGUGAAAUUUUCGAAGUUCAAAGUUUUGUACUUUCCAGACCUGCACAACGAAUUACCUAUUUGAAAAAUAGAAUAUGGUUAGAAAUUGCUGAUGUAAUAGAGGAUUCAAGUACCAUUUACAAACAAAAUAUUGAAGAGAAUGUGCUCAAAGGAAAUGCAUAUGAUUCUUUCUUGUUGACCAGGAUGGAACAAUUCUUUGGAACCUAUAGUUAGAAUAAGUUAGUUAGGCCUAGUGAUGUACCAGCCAGAAGUAGAGGAUGACAA